AUUGAACGCUGGCGGCAUGCCUUACACAUGCAAGUCGAACGGCAGCACGGGGCAACCUGGUGGCGAGUGGCGAACGGGUGAGUAACGCAUCGGAACGUACCUUUCAGUGGGGGAUAACGUAGCGAAAGUUACGCUAAUACCGCAUAUUCUGUGAGCAGGAAAGCAGGGGCUCGCAAGACCUUGCGCUGAUUGAGCGGCCGAUGUCAGAUUAGCUAGUUGGUGAGGUAAAGGCUAACCAAGGCGACGAUCUGUAGCGGGUCUGAGAGGAUGAUCCGCCACACUGGAACUGAGACACGGUCCAGACUCCUACGGGAGGCAGCAGUGGGGAAUUUUGGACAAUGGGGGCAACCCUGAUCCAGCCAUGCCGCGUGAGUGAAGAAGGCCUUCGGGUUGUAAAGCUCUUUCGGCCGGGAAGAAAUCGCACGGGCUAAUACCCUGUGUGGAUGACGGUACCGGAAUAAGAAGCACCGGCUAACUACGUGCCAGCCGCCGCAGUAAAAC
rnacentral:rRNA from 1 species